UUUAUACGCCCGUAUAAAAUACGGGACGUAUUAUGUGAAACCCCUUGGCGGGCGGGCGGGCGGCGGGCGGAAGGCAUCACUUUGUCCGGACUCUAAUUCAAAUUGUAUUCAUCCGAUCUUCACCAAACUUGGUCAGCAGUUGCAUCUAGUUGAUAUCUAGGCCAAGUUCGAAUAUGGGUCAUGCCGGGUCAAAAACUAGGUCAUAGGGUCAAUUAGUGCAUUUUCAACGGCGCCACUUUGUCCGGACUCUAAUUCAAAUUGUAUUCAUCCGAUCUUCACCAAACUUGGUCAGUAGUUGCAUCUAGUUGAUAUCUAGGCCAAGUUCGAAUAUGGGUCAUGCCGGGUCAAAAACUAGGUCAUAGGGUCAAUAAGUGCAUUUUCAAAGGGGCCACUUUGUCCGGACUCUAUUUCAAAUUGUAUUCAUCCGAUCUUCACCAAACUUGGUCAGCAGUUGCAUCUAGUUGAUAUCUAGGCCAAGUUCGAAUAUGGGUCAUGCCGGGUCAAAAACUAGGUCAUAGGGUCAAUAAGUGCAUUUUCAAAGGGGCCACUUUGUCCGGACUCUAUUUCAAAUUGUAUUCAUCCGAUCUUCACCAAACUUGGUCAGCAGUUGCAUCUAGUUGAUAUCUAGGCCAAGUUCGAAUAUGGGUCAUGCCGGGUCAAAAACUAGGUCAUAGGGUCAAUAAGUGCAUUUUCAAAGGGGCCACUUUGUCCGGACUCUAUUUCAAAUUGUAUUCAUCCGAUCUUCACCAAACUUGGUCAGCAGUUGCAUCUAGUUGAUAUCUAGGCCAAGUUCGAAUAUGGGUCAUGCCAGGUCAAAAACUAGGUCAUAGGGUCAAUAAGUGCAUUUUCAAAGGGGCCACUUUGUCCGGACUCUAUUUCAAAUUGUAUUCAUCCGAUCUUCACCAAACUUGGUCAGCAGUUGCAUCUAGUUGAUAUAUAGGCCAAGUUCGAAUAUGGGUCAUGCCGGGUCAAAAACUAGGUCAUAGGGUCAAUUAGUGCAUUUUCAACGGCGCCACUUUGUCCGGACUCUAAUUCAAAUUGUAUUCAUCCGAUCUUCACCAAAUUUGGUCAGAAGUUGUGUCUAGAUGAUAUGUAGGUCAAGUUCAAAUAUGGGUCAUGCCGGGUCAAAAACUAGGUCAC